CUACGUGCCAGCAGCCGCGGUAAUACGGAGGGUGCGAGCGUUAAUCGGAAUAACUGGGCGUAAAGGGCACGCAGGCGGUGACUUAAGUGAGGUGUGAAAGCCCCGGGCUUAACCUGGGAAUUGCAUUUCAUACUGGGUCGCUAGAGUACUUUAGGGAGGGGUAGAAUUCCACGUGUAGCGGUGAAAUGCGUAGAGAUGUGGAGGAAUACCGAAGGCGAAGGCAGCCCCUUGGGAAUGUACUGACGCUCAUGUGCGAAAGCGUGGGGAGCAAACAGGAUUAGAUACCCUGGUAGUCCACGCUGUAAACGAUGUCGAUUUGGGGGUUGAACUUUAAGUUUGGCGCCCGUAGCUAACGUGAUAAAUCGACCGCCUGGGGAGUACGGCCGCAAGGUUAAAACUCAAAUGAAUUGACGGGGGCCCGCACAAGCGGUGGAGCAUGUGGUUUAAUUCGAUGCAACGCGAAGAACCUUACCUACUCUUGACAUCCAUGGAAUCCUGUAGAGAUACGGGAGUGC
rnacentral:rRNA from 1 species